rnacentral:tRNA from 1 species
GGGCCGGUAGUUCAGUGGUAUGAAUGCCGCCCUCGCACGGCGGAAGCCCGGGGUUCAAAUCCCCGCCGGUCCACCA